AAUCAACGCUGGCGGCGUGCCUCAGACAUGCAAGUCGAACGCGAAAGUCCCCUUCGGGGGACAAGUAGAGUGGCGCACGGGUGAGUAACACGUAGGUAAUCUACCUUCGGAUGGGGAAUAACAACCGGAAACGGUUGCUAAUACCGCAUAAUGCAGCGGCACCUAAUGGUGACAGUUGUUAAAGCGGGGGAUCGAAAGACCCCGCGUCUGAAGAGGAGCCUGCGGCGGAUUAGCUAGUUGGAAGGUAAUGGCUUACCAAGGCGACGAUCCGUAGCCGGCCUGAGAGGGCGGUCGGCCACACUGACACUGACAUACGGGUCAGACUCCUACGGGAGGCAGCAGUCGGGAAUUUUGGGCAAUGGGCGAAAGCCUGACCCAGCAACGCCGCGUGAAGGAUGAAAUCCCUCGGGAUGUAAACUUCGCAAGAACGGGAAGAAUAAGU
rnacentral:rRNA from 1 species